rnacentral:rRNA from 1 species
CACGUAGGGCGCAAGCGUUGUCCGGAAUUAUUGGGCGUAAAGAGCUCGUAGGCGGUCUGUUGCGUCCGCUGUGAAAACUCGGGGCUUAACCCCGAGCCUGCAGUGGAUACGGGCAGACUAGAGGUAGGUAGGGGAGAAUGGAAUUCCCGGUGUAGCGGUGAAAUGCGCAGAUAUCGGGAGGAACACCGGUGGCGAAGGCGGUUCUCUGGGCCCUACCUGACGCUGAGACGCGAAAGCGUGGGGAGCGAACCGG